AUGGUUCAAAAUGAGAAACAUUUGGUAUUUCCAUUGGUAUACAAACUUAUUGAGCUGGCUUUGAUAUUGCCGGUGUCAUCGGCAUCUGCUAUGAGAGCUUUUUCAGCCAUGAAGAUUAUUAAGAAUAAACUGUGCAGCAAGAUCAAUAAUAUGAUAUGUUACACCGAGCGGGAGCUAUUCAAGUCAGUUGAUGAUAACGAUAUUAUUUGA
rnacentral:rRNA from 1 species